GAGGGUAGAGCUCAGUGGUAGAGCAUGUGCUUAGCAUGCACGUGGUCCUAAAUUCAAUCCCCAGUACCUCCA
rnacentral:tRNA from 1 species